GACGAACGCUGGCGGCGUGCUUAACACAUGCAAGUCGAACGGAAAGGCCUCUUUCGGGGGGUACUCGAGUGGCGAACGGGUGAGUAACACGUGAGUAACCUGCCCUUGACUUUGGGAUAACUUCAGUAAACUGGGGCUAAUGCCGGAUAGGAUCUCCUGCUGCAUGGUGGGGGUUGGAAAGUUUCGGCGGUUGGGGUUGGACUCGCGGCUUAUCAGCUUGUUGGUGGGGUAGUGGCUUACCAAGGCUUUGACGGGUAGCCGGCCUGAGAGGGUGACCGGCCACAUUGGGACUGAGAUACGGCCCAGACUCCUACGGGAGGCAGCAGUGGGGAAUAUUGCACAAUGGGUGGAAGCCUGAUGCAGCAACGCCGUGUGCGGGAUGACGGCCUUCGGGUUGUAAACCGCUGUAGCUCAUGACGAAGCUUUGUGUGACGGUAGUGGGUAAAGAAGCACCGGCUAACUACGUG
rnacentral:rRNA from 1 species